UCGGGGAAAAUGCCAGAGGCGAGGGCCACUUUUCGGUCACAAAGCAAUUCAAGUGGUAGUUCUCCUUCUCUCGCACAUCCUGGCUGGGCCCCGUGCCAGCAAAGCACUCCUCCAUCCUCAGGAUGGCAACUGGGCCUGAAUGGGAUGUAGGAAGCUUUCGCUUAUCCCAUCAUUCUGGAUUGCCUGUGUCGACUCUGUGGAUGAGAGGGAAGAAUAAUAAGCACAGCCAACUGCCAGAAACUUCUUGUUGCCUCAGUGCACAUCUAUUUUUCCGCUGGAUGACUUUUAUUUUUGCAUUUUUAAUUGCUUUAUUUGUAUUGUCCCUUUCCUCGUGGCAGUUUUUAAAUACCUCUUUGGGGAGGCUUUUAUAUUCAGAUCUGUGACAGUACCACCGAGAUCUCAAGCUAAGCAUGAAAGCCUGGAUCUAAUAUCUUCUUGCGGCUUUCCUAUCUAAUAGGCCCGCUUGUGAGUCUCGCUGCUGGGAUACCAUGUCCAAGUGGAUGUUUACUGAAGAAAAACCAGGAGUUGCAGAAAAGCAGACAGGAACAACUUGUCAGAACUCUGAUCUGAUGACUCAUCCAAUUGUACCCACAUUACGCAACCAUUAUCCCGUGGUGAAGAGUGCACCUAGGAAAGAGAGAUCCAGCAGCCUGGCUCCCGACUCUGUAUGGCCAACUGUGUAAUGCUCUCCAGCAAGAAAAAGGAGCCUCUCGACAACAUGGAACGCUGUAAUGAAAGCGAGUUUAAGCCAAUAUUUGUCAAAUAUCAAAUAAUUAUU